GCUUGUCGAGCGGACAGAUGAGAAGCUUGCUUCUCUGAUGUUAGCGGCGGACGGGUGAGUAACACGUGGGUAACCUACCUAUAAGACUGGGAUAACUCCGGGAAACCGGGGCUAAUACCGGAUAAUAUUUUGAACCGCAUGGUUCAAUAGUGAAAGACGGUUUCGGCUGUCACUUAUAGAUGGACCCGCGCCGUAUUAGCUAGUUGGUAAGGUAACGGCUUACCAAGGCGACGAUACGUAGCCGACCUGAGAGGGUGAUCGGCCACACUGGAACUGAGACACGGUCCAGACUCCUACGGGAGGCAGCAGUAGGGAAUCUUCCGCAAUGGGCGAAAGCCUGACGGAGCAACGCCGCGUGAGUGAUGAAGGUCUUCGGAUCGUAAAACUCUGUUGUUAGGGAAGAACAAAUUUGUUAGUAACUGAACAAGUCUUGACGGUACCUAACCAGAAAGCCACGGCUAACUACGUGCCAGCAGCCGCGGUAAUACGUAGGUGGCAAGCGUUAUCCGGAAUUAUUGGGCGUAAAGCGCGCGUAGGCGGUUUCUUAAGUCUGAUGUGAAAGCCCACGGCUCAACCGUGGAGGGUCAUUGGAAACUGGGAAACUUGAGUGCAGAAGAGGAGAGUGGAAUUCCAUGUGUAGCGGUGAAAUGCGCAGAGAUAUGGAGGAACACCAGUGGCGAAGGCGGCUCUCUGGUCUGUAACUGACGCUGAUGUGCGAAAGCGUGGGGAUCAAACAGGAUUAGAUACCCUGGUACUCCACGCCGUAAACGAUGAGUGCUAAGUGUUAGGGGGUUUCCGCCCCUUAGUGCUGCAGCUAACGCAUUAAGCACUCCGCCUGGGGAGUACGACCGCAGGGUUGAAACUCAAAAGAAUGGACGGGGACCCGCACAAGCUGUUGGCAGCAUGUGGUUUUAAGUACAAAGCAGCGCGAAGAACCUUUACCCAAAUCUUGGACAUCCUUUUGACUGCUCUAGAGAUAAUAGUCGUUCGCCUUCGGCGCGACAAAGGUGACAGUUGGUAGCAAUGGUUGUCGUCCACCUCCGAUGUCGAUGAGAUUGUAUAGGUUUAAGAUCAACUCAACCAACGCAACGGGUUUAUGUCUUUACUUGCCGUUCAUUUAACGCUUGGUCGAGCUCGAUAUAAGCUUUCGAC
rnacentral:rRNA from 1 species